rnacentral:rRNA from 1 species
GACGAACGCUGGCGGCGUGCUUAACACAUGCAAGUCGAACGGAAAGGCCCUGCUUUUGUGGGGUGCUCGAGUGGCGAACGGGUGAGUAACACGUGAGUAACCUGCCCUUGACUUUGGGAUAACUUCAGGAAACUGGGGCUAAUACCGGAUAGGAGCUCCUGCUGCAUGGUGGGGGUUGGAAAGUUUCGGCGGUUGGGGAUGGACUCGCGGUUUAUCAGCUUGCUGGUGGGGUAGUGGCUUACCAAGGCUUUGACGGGUAGCCGGCCUGAGAGGGUGACCGGCAACAUAGGGACUGAGAUACGGCCCAGACUCCUACGGGAGGCAGCAGUGGGGAAUAUUGCACAAUGGGCGGAAGCCUGAUGCAGCAACGCCGCGUGCAGGAUAACGGCCUUCGGGUUGUAAGCCGCUUUCGCCUGUGACGGAGCGUGAGUGACGGUAAUGGGUAAAGAAGCACCGGCUAACUACGUG